UCCUUCACCAAAUCCAUCACCUCAUCUUCUUCCACUCCAAGAUCUAAAAUGUCAGCCAUUGUUGCGACUGCAAAGAAAUUCAUGGGAAAUAACGGUACGCUAUCAACAUGUGAGAAUUAUUGAGAAGUCCACCAUGUUGGAGGAGCAUCUCCCUCAUAAGGCAGAAGUCUGUCGGCAUGGACAACACGAGGAAAUGAGGUUCCAUUAACAGCCUCCAAGGACAAAGUAAUAGGACUCAGUAAAACAGAACGAGGAAGAC